rnacentral:rRNA from 1 species
GGUGAACGCUAGCGGUGCGCCUAACACAUGCAAGUCGAGCGGUAGAUUUGAUAGCUUGCUAUUAAAUUGAGAGCGGCGAACGGGUGAGUAACAUGUUGAAAUCUGCCCCCAAGUCAGGGAUAGCCAUUGGAAACGAUGAUUAAUACCGGAUGUGCUCUACGGAGUAAAGAUUUAUUGCUUGGGGAGGAGUCUACAUUCUAUCAGUUAGUUGGUGAGGUAAAGGCUUACCAAGACUAUGACGGAUAGCUGGUCUGAGAGGAUCAGCCACAAUGAAACUGAGACACGGUUCAUACUCCUACGGGAGGCAGCAGUGAGGAAUCUUCCACAAUGGACGAAAGUCUGAUGGAGCGACACCGCGUGAAGGAUGAAUGCCUAACGGUUGUAAACUUCUUUUCUGAAGGAGCAUAAUGAGAGUACUUCAGGAAUAAGGGACGGCUAAAUACGUGCCAGCAGCCGCGGUAAUACGUAUGUCCCGAGUGUUACCCGGAAUUAUUGGGUGUAAAGGGUUCGUAGGCGGACUGAUAAGUUGGAUAUUAAAGACUGAGGCUCAACCUCAUGUUUGUGUUCCAAAACUGCUAGUCUAGAAUUAGGGAGAGGUAAGUGGAAUUCUGUGUGUAGGGGUGCAAUCCGUAGAUACACAGAGGAACACCAAAAGCGAAGGCAACUUACUGGAACUAUAUUGACGCUGAUGAACGAAAGCGUGGGUAGCGAAAAGGAUUAGAUACCCUUGUAGUCCACGCCCUAAAUGAUGAUAACUAAGUGUUGGGGCUAGACCUCAGUGCUGAAGCUAACGCAUUAAGUUAUCCACCUGAGGAGUACGGUCGCAAGAUUAAAACUCAAAGGAAUAGACGGGGACCCGCACAAGCAGUGGAUCACGUGGUUUAAUUCGAUAAUAAACGGGGAACCUUACCCAGACUUGACAUCCUAAGAAUUCCACAGAGAUGAGGAAGUGCCUUUAUUGGAACUUAGUGACAGGUGCUGCAUGGUUGUCGUCAGCUCGUGCCUUGAGGUGUUCGGUUAAGUCCGUUAACGAGCGCAACCCAUGUCUCUAGUUAUUAUGUCUAGAGAGACUGCCUUGGUUAACAAGGAGGAAGGUGUGGAUGACGUCAAAUCAGCAUGGCUUUUACGUCUGGGGCUACACACAUGAUACAAUGGUAUGUACCAAAGGGUAGCAAUACAGCAAUGUUGAGCUAAUCCUAAAAGCAUAUCUUAGUCCGGAUUGGAGUCUGCAACUCGACUCCAUGAAGUUGGAAUUGCUAGUAAUCGUGAAUCAGAUAUGUCACGGUGAAUAUGUUCCUGGGUCUUGUACUCACCGCCCGUCACGGCAUGGGAGGUAGUAAUAUCGGAAGCUCCCUUGGUAAUAGAGGGGUCCAUGGUAGGACUACUGACUGGGCUGAAGUCGUAACAAGGUAACC